rnacentral:rRNA from 1 species
UCGGGAAUAUUGCGGCAAUGGAGGAAACUCUGACGCAGUGACGCCGCGUAUAGGAAGAAGGUUUUCGGAUUGUAAACUAUUGUCGUUAGGGAAGAUACAAGACAGUACCUAAGGAGGAAGCUCCGGCUAACUACGUGCCAGCAGCCGCGGUAAUACGUAGGGAGCAAGCGUUAUCCGGAUUUAUUGGGUGUAAAGGGUGCGUAGACGGGACAACAAGUUAGUUGUGAAAUCCCUCGGCUCAACUGAGGAACUGCAACUAAAACUAUUGUUCUUGAGUGUUGGAGAGGAAAGUGGAAUUCCUAGUGUAGCGGUGAAAUGCGUAGAUAUUAGGAGGAACACCGGUGGCGAAGGCGACUUUCUGGACAAUAACUGACGUUGAGGCACGAAAGUGUGGGGAGCAAACAGGAUUAGAUACCCUGGUAGU